rnacentral:tRNA from 1 species
GGGUCGGUGGUCUAGUCCGGUUAUGACGGCUCCUUCACACGGAGCAGGUCGGCGGUUCGACUCCGCCCCGACCCACCA